rnacentral:rRNA from 1 species
AUACGACUCUCGGCAACGGAUAUCUCGGCUCUCGCAUCGAUGAAAACGUAACGAAAUGCGAUACUUGGUGUGAAUUGCAGAAUCCCGUGAACCAUCGAGUCUUUGAACGCAAGUUGCGCCCAAGGCCGUUCGGUCGAGGGCACAUCUGCUUGGGCGUUAAACAAC